rnacentral:lncRNA from 1 species
GUAACCAUCAGAUUGACUAAAAUUAGGAAGUAGUCUGUGUUCCCCACUACUGAAAGGUGUUUUUUUUUUCUGCUCCAGCUCAACAGGUUACUGUGUGUCAGUUAUAUGUCAGCUGUUGGUGGCUCAUAAUAUGUCUUCUGAGAAGAGCAGGAGGUUUAUUUGAGACCCUGAAUGGUACUGUCCUCCUAGGCAAGUGAUUUGCCAAUGCACAACUGCAUAUAGGUGUUCUUUCUCCACACCUAUUUAUUCAAAUGGCAUGGAGGACUUGUGGAAAAACAUUGAUAUGAUUGAGACAGCCAUACUGUUGUGGUGAGAGGUGGAAAGGCACACCAGCUGACUGGGUUUCAAAGUGUGGCUUUUUCAGCAAGAUUUUAAGGAGUCAAGUCACUUGCCUAGGAGUUGUUGUUCUUUGCAAACUGCAUAGCUAUAGUCAACCUCAGCUAGUGCUUACUAAGUCAGGAAAAAUAUCAGAAGAGACUUUCUUUGAGCAAGCUCCGGUCUUAGCUAACAACGCAGGCUUGGUUUUGGCCUAUGAGCACUUGGCCUCUCCCAGAUUGACAUAUGCUUCUAUAUGGGGAGGCAAUGGAAGUAUACUCAAUGCAGGCAGCAUCCUACAAGGCUGCUGACUUUUUUGCAAUGUGUUAUGUAGCCAUCCUGAUUUAGUAAUCUCCAUGGGAUUAUGCCAAGAUUUCAACACUUAGACCCUUCCAGAGCAAUAAUAAACCCAGCGUAGUCUGGUCCCA